rnacentral:rRNA from 1 species
GAUGAACGCUGGCGGCGUGCCUAAUACAUGCAAGUCGAACGAGGUGCUUUUGUAGCAAUACGAGAGUAUCCUAGUGGCGAACGGGUGAGUAACGCGUUGGUGACCUGCCCCAAAGUGUGGGAUAACAGUCCGAAAGGAUUGCUAAUACCGCAUGUGGUCCCCGGAUUUAGAAACCGGUGACUAAAGCAGUAAUGCGCUUUGGGAGGGACCUGCGUCCCAUCAGCUAGUUGGUGAGGUAACGGCCCACCAAGGCGACGACGGGUAGGGGACCUGAGAGGGUGGCCCCCCACAAUGGAACUGAAACACGGUCCAUACACCUACGGGUGGCAGCAGUAGGGAAUAUUGCACAAUGGGCGAAAGCCUGAUGCAGCAACGCCGCGUGUGCGAAGAAGGCCUUCGGGUCGUAAAGCACUUUUCUGGGAGAUGAGAAAGGACAGUAUCCCAGGAAUAAGUCUCGGCUAACUACGUGCCAGCCGCCGCGGUAAUAC